AUUGAACGCUGGCGGCAGGCCUAACACAUGCAAGUCGAACGGUAACAGGAAGAAGCUUGCUUCUUAGCUGACGAGUGGCGGACGGGUGAGUAAUGUCUGGGAAACUGCCUGAUGGAGGGGGAUAACUACUGGAAACGGUAGCUAAUACCGCAUAACGUCGCAAGACCAAAGAGGGGGACCUUCGGGCCUCUUGCCAUCGGAUGUGCCCAGAUGGGAUUAGCUAGUAGGUGGGGUAACGGCUCACCUAGGCGACGAUCCCGAGCUGGUCUGAGAGGAUGACCAGCCACACUGGAACUGAGACACGGUCCAGACUCCUACGGGAGGCAGCAGUGGGGAAUAUUGCACAAUGGGCGCAAGCCUGAUGCAGCCAUGCCGCGUGUAUGAAGAAGGCCUUCGGGUUGUAAAGUACUUUCAGCGGGGAGGAAGGGAGUAAAGUUAAUACCUUUACUCAUUGACGUUACCCGCAGAAGAAGCACCGGCUAACUCCGUG
rnacentral:rRNA from 1 species